CCAGCUUAAGAAAGAGGGGAGAAGGAAUGAGUAUGAGAUGCGUAAGCUGUUAGCGCUGAAUCAGAGACAAAAGAUGGUAUUGCAAAGGAAGACAGAAGAAGCUUCCUUGGCCACAAAAAGGCUGAAAGAACUUUUGGAAUCUAGAAAAGCUUCCUCACGUGAAACUAAGGCUGUUGGAGGUGGGAAUGGCCCUGGAGUUCAG